rnacentral:piRNA from 2 species
UGUCAUAUGGUGAUAAUGGUCCC